rnacentral:rRNA from 1 species
GAAGUGUGGUUGUACACGCUCACAGCUGUAACGACCGUACGACUGUUUUCGAUUGGUCCGUUUGUAACUCAUGACAGGCGGCCGACGACGUUGACUUGUAAUAAUUAGAUGAAGCGCUGACAGCCUGCAUCAGUAGGCAUGGAAAAAGAAUAGGACCUCGGUUCUAUUUUUGUUUUUUGGAGUCGAGGUAAUGAUUAAAGACAGACGGGCAGUCGUAUUACGGUUUAGAGUGAAAUUCUUAGAUCCCGUAGCGAUACUGCGUAAUGCAUUUCCAAAAAGUUUUCAUUAUCAAGACGAAAUCAGAGGUUCGAAGACGAUCAGAACCGUCGUAGUUCUGACAUAAACGAUUCGAUGGCGAUCCGCGGUGUUGAUCGUACGCCCCCGCGGGCAGCUCCGGAAACCAAAGUCUUUGAUUCCGGGGGAAGUAUGGUCAAAGCCGAAACUUAAAGGAAUUGAGGAAGGGCACCACCAGGAGUGGAGCCUGCGGCUUAAUUUGCUCAACACGGGAAAACUCACCCGGUCCGGACACCGGAAGGAUUGACAGAUUGAUAGCUCUUUCUUAAUUCGGUGGGUGGUGGUGCAUGGCCGUUCUUAGUUGGUGGAGCGAUUUGUGGUUAAUUCCGAUAACGAACGAGACUCUAGCCUGCUAAAUAGUCACCGGCUGUAAGCCGCAACGUCCUUCGGGGCGUUCGGACGUCUGGAAACAGGCGCUGCCGGUGCAGACUUCUUAGAGGGAUGCGUGGCGUAUAGUCACACGAGAUUGAGCAAUAACAGUCUGUGAUGCCCUUAGAUGUUCGGGGCCGCACGCGCGUUACACCGAAGGAAUCAUCGUGUUUUGUUCCUGCUCCGCGAGGAUCGGGGAACCCUGCCAUUCGUCCGCUAGGGAGGGGGUAAUUUUCACCUGACCGAGAUCCUGCAGUUCGCGCCAGUCAUAAGCUCGCGUUGAUUACGUCCUGCCCCUUGUACACACCGCCCGUCGCUACUACCGAUUGGAUGGUUUAGGGAGGUCAUCGGAUCGAGGUUCGCUCUGGUUGAUCCUGCCAGUCAUAUCUGGCGGUGAGUUCCAUGGUCUGGUUGAAGUGGUGCGUUGAUUUACUC